AUGUGGGUCACCAAACAAUGCAACCUGCCACUUUCUUUGGGUAAGCAUUAUCGCUCAAAUGUGUUGUGUGAUGUGGUUGACAUGGAUGCCAGCCAUGUUCUUCUUGGGAGGCCUUGGCAAUUUGAUGUGGAUACUACACACAAGGGCAAGGAAAAUUCUUACUCUUUCAUUUGGAACAAGAGAAAGAUCAUUAUCUUACCAAACAAAACCGAAGGUAAUACCUAUAAGGAGGAGGGGAAAACUAUGUUAACUAUCUCCCAUACCUCUCAUGAGUUUAUGGAAGACUUGAAGGAGAAAGAUUUGUGUGCCGCACUUGUUGUAAAGGGAGAAGAGCACCCGUCUGUUCAAAUUCCAGCAAAGGUACGUGGUUUAUUGGCAGAAUUUCAGAACAUACUUAGGGAGCCACAUGGCUUGCCACCGAUGAGAGGAAUUCAACAUAGAAUUGACUUAAUUCCGGGAGCAAGUCUUCCUAAUCUUCCACACUAUCGAGUGAGUCCAAAGAAGCAUGAUAUAUUGAAGGAGAAAGUGGAGGAAUUGUUGCAAAAGGGGCACAUUCGAGAAAGUAUUAGCCCAUGUGCUGUACCAGCCCUACUCGAGCCAAAGAAAGAUGGAUCUUGGCGCAUGUGUACGGACAGUAGAGCCGUUAACAAGAUCACCAUAAGGUAUAGAUUCCCUAUUCCCCGUCUAGAUGAUAUGUUGGAUCAGCUUAGUGUAGAAAGAGUGUUCACAAAGCUAGAUUUAAGAAGUGGAUAUCAUCAAAUCCGUAUAAGACCCGGGGAUGAAUGGAAGACCGCCUUCAAGACAAAGGAAGGGUUGUUUGAAUGGCUAGUCAUGCCGUUUGGACUCACAAAUGCACCAAGUACCUUUAUGCACUUAAUGAAUCAAGUCCUUAGACCCUUCUUAUCCCACUUUGUUGUGGUCUAUUUCGAUGACAUCUUGAUCUAUAGCAAGGAUGAGGAUGAACACUUUGAUCACAUUCGAAAGGUGCUAGAAGUACUAAGGGAAAUUGAUCUCUACGUCAACUUGAAGAAAUGUGUUUUCCUGCAAACACAACUUCUUUUCCUAGGAUUCGUCAUAACAUGUGACGACAUUCAUGUUGAUGAUUCUAAGGUUGAAGCAACCCGAGAAUGGCCAAUUCCUAAGACCAUUUCUGAGGUAAGAACCUUUCAUGGCCUUGCAACUUUCUAUAGGCGAUUUGUGAAGAUUUUCAGCAUUAUCAUGGAACCAAUUACCAAGUGUUUGAAGAAAGGAAAGUUCCACUGGAUAAAAGCAGCUGAAGCUAGUUUCAAUGAUAUUAAAUAA
rnacentral:rRNA from 1 species